rnacentral:rRNA from 1 species
UACGGGGGGGGUAAGCGUUGUUCGGAAUUACUGGGCGUAAAGGGCUCGUAGGCGGCCAACUAAGUCAUACGUGAAAUCCCUCAGCUUAACUGGGGAACUGCGUGUGAUACUGGAUGGCUUGGAUUUGGGAGAGGGAUGCGGAAUUCCAGGUGUAGCGGUGAAAUGCGUUGAUAUCUACAGGAACUCCGGUGGCGAAAGCGGCGUGCUGGACCUUUUCUGACGCUGAGGCGCGAAAGCGUGGGGAGCAAACAGG